CCUACGGGAGGCAGCAGUGAGGAAUAUUGGUCAAUGGCCGUAAGGCUGAACCAGCCAAGUCGCGUGAAGGAAGAAGGAUCUAUGGUUUGUAAACUUCUUUUAUAGGGGAAUAAAGGUAUCCACGUGUGGAUAUUUGCAUGUACCCUAUGAAUAAGCAUCGGCUAACUCCGUGCCAGCAGCCGCGGUAAUACGGAGGAUGCGAGCGUUAUCCGGAUUUAUUGGGUUUAAAGGGUGCGUAGGUUGUUUUUUAAGUCAGCGGUGAAAGUUUGUGGCUCAACCAUAAAAUUGCCGUUGAAACUGGAAGACUGGAGUGUGUUUGAGGUAGGCGGAAUUCGUGGUGUAGCGGUGAAAUGCUUAGAUAUCACGAAGAACCCCGAUUGCGAAGGCAGCUUACUAAACUGUGACUGACAUUGAUGCUCGAAAGUGUGGGUAUCAAACAGGAUUAGAUACCCUUGUAGUC
rnacentral:rRNA from 1 species